AGCUCCAAUAGCGUAUAUUAAAGUUGUUGUGGUUAAAAAGCUCGUAGUUGGAUCUCAACGGCCUUGGAGCGGUUAUCAUGCUUGAUAGACUGCUCUGUAGGCCGUGCUUUUGCUGGAGGUUUAGGGGUGCUCUUAAUCGAGUGUCUCUGGAUGCCAGCAGGUUUACUUUGAAAAAAUUAGAGUGCUCAAAGCAGGCUGUUACGCCUGAAUAUUCGUGCAUGGAACAAUAGAAUAGGAUGUCGAUCCUAUUUUGUUGGUUUUCGGGACUCGACAUAAUGAUUAAUAGGGACAGUCGGGGGCAUUUGUAUUCAAACGACAGAGGUGAAAUUCUUGGACCGUUUGAAGACAAACUACUGCGAAAGCAUUUGCCAAGAAUGUUUUCAUUAAUCAAGAACGAAAG
rnacentral:rRNA from 1 species